rnacentral:rRNA from 1 species
CCGCUGAAUUUAAGCAUAUCAUUAAGUGCAGGAAAAGAAACCAAAUGGGAUUCCCUCAGUAACGGCGAGUGAAGUGGGAUGAGCUCAGCACCAAAGCCGGCGGUCGAGAGGCCGUCGUGCAAUGUGGUGUUCAGGAGGGCUCUGUCCGUGUCCGGUGUCGGUCCAAGUCUCCUGGAAAGGAGUUCCAUGGAGGGUGACAGGCCCGUGCGACCGAUUGCCGCGCUCGCGGACGAGUCCCCCUUCGAGUCGGGUUGUUCGCUAAUGCAGCCCUAAGCAGGUGGUAAGCUCCAUCUAAAGCUAAAUAUAACCACGAGUCCGAUAGUCAACAAGUACAGUGAUGGAAAGUUGAAAAGAACUUUGAAGAGAGAGUUC